rnacentral:rRNA from 1 species
UAAAGAUAAUAAGGGCGUACGGUGGAUGCCUUGGCGAUAUCAGCCGAAGAAGGACGCGGUAAGCUGCGAUAAGCUACGGAGAGGUGCAAGCAACCUGUGACCCGUAGAUAUCCGAAUGGGGGAACCCGGCAGUGGUUAUGCACUGUCACCCAUAGCAUAGACUAUGAGGAGGGCACCCGGGGAACUGAAACAUCUAAUUACCCGGAGGAACAGUAAUCAAACGAGAUUUUCUUAGUAGCGGCGAGCGAACGGGAAAGAGGCCAAACCGGAGCGGGCAACCGCACCGGGGUUGAGGACAGUCAUCAAGUGUAAAUGAGGUAGAAGAAUCGAGCUGGAAAGCUCAGCCGCAGAAGGUGAAAGCCCUGUAAUCGAAACCUUGCAUACAUGGGACUGUAUCCAGAGUACCACGAGACACGUGAAACCUUGUGGGAAGCAGGGGGGACCACCCUCCAAGCCAAAAUACUGAUAUCGACCGAUAGCGCAUAGUACCGUGAGGGAAAGGUGAAAAGAACCCCUGGCGGGGAGUGAAAGAGAACCUGAAACCGUAUGUCUACAAACAGUCGAAGUCUGUAUAUAUAUCAGGACGACGGCGUGCCUAUUGAAGAAUGAACCGACGAGUUACUGUUGCUAGCGAGGUUAAGUGGAAAACAUGGAGCCGCAGCGAAAGCGAGUCUGAACAGGGCGUUCAGUUAGUAAUAGUAGACCCGAAACCGUAGUGAUCUAUCCAUGGCCAGGUUGAAGCACAGGUAAAAUUGUGUGGAGGACCGAACUCGUGAGCGUUGAAAAGCUUUGGGAUGAGUUGUGGAUAGGGGUGAAAUGCCAAUCGAACACGGAGAUAGCUGGUUCUCCCCGAAAUAGCUUUAGGGCUAGCCUCGAGGUAGAGAGUAUAGGCGGUAGAGCACUGAUCGGGCUAGGGGCCAUACCGGUUACCGAACCUAGUCAAACUACGAAUGGCUAUACUUAUACUCGGGAGUCAGACAGUGAAUGAUAAGGUCCAUUGUCAAGAGGGAAACAGCCCAGAACACCGACUAAGGUCCCCAAUGUUACACUAAGUGGCGAAGGAUGUGGAAUUUCCAAAACAACCAGGAUGUUGGCUUAGAAGCAGCCACCAUUUAAAGAGUGCGUAAUAGCUCACUGGUCGAGAGACUCUGCGCCGAAAAUGUCCGGGGCUAAAGUGUAAAACCGAAGUCGUGUCAUAUGCAGCAAUGUAUAUGGGUAGGGGAGCGUUCUCAUCGGGCUGAAGCAGUACCGUAAGGAGUUGUGGACUGAUGAGAAGUGAGAAUGUCGGUAUGAGUAGCGAAAAGAAUGGUGAGAAUCCAUUCCACCGAAAGCCUAAGGGUUCCUGAGCAACGAUCGUCGUCUCAGGGUAAGUCGGGACCUAAGCCGAGGCGGAAAAGCGUAGGCGAUGGACAACAGGUUGAAAUUCCUGUACCGGUGUGAAUCGUUUGAUCGAUGGAGUGACACAGUAAGGUAGGUCAGCACGCGAUUGGAAGAGCGUGUUUAAGCAGGUAGGUUGAGCUAUAGGCAAAUCCGUAGCUCUAAAAGCUGAGAUGUGAUGACGAGUGACUAGCAAUAGUCGCGAAGUGAUUGAUCCUACACUGUCGAGAAAAGCUUCUAGGUAGAGACACAUCGCCCGUACCAAAACCGACACAGGUAGGCGGGGAGAGAAUCCUAAGGUGCGCGGGAAAACCCUCGUUAAGGAACUCGGCAAAAUGCCUCCGUAACUUCGGGAAAAGGAGGACUCAUGUAGUGUGAAGAGCAGAAGCGCUUGGAGCAUGAAUGAGUGGCACAAGAGAGGCGCAAGCGACUGUUUACCACAAACACAGGUGCCUGCUAAAGCGAAAGCUGAUGUAUAGGUGCUGACACCUGCCCGGUGCUGGAAGGUUAAGAGGAGGGGUUAGACUUCGGUCGAAGCUCUGAAUUGAAGCCCCAGUAAACGGCGGCCGUAACUAUAACGGUCCUAAGGUAGCGAAAUUCCUUGUCGGGU